rnacentral:rRNA from 1 species
AGGGGUAGAAAGAGCUUGCUUUUUUGAGACCGGCGCACGGGUGAGUAACGCGUAUGCAACCUACCUUAUACAGGGGAAUAGCCCGAAGAAAUUCGGAUUAAUGCUCCAUGGUUUAUCGAUAUGGCAUCGUAUUGAUAAUAAAGAUUUAUCGGUAUAAGAUGGGCAUGCGUAUCAUUAGCUAGUUGGUGUGGUAACGGCAUACCAAGGCAACGAUGAUUAGGGGUCCUGAGAGGGAGAUCCCCCACACUGGUACUGAGACACGGACCAGACUCCUACGGGAGGCAGCAGUGAGGAAUAUUGGUCAAUGGAGGCAACUCUGAACCAGCCAUGCCGCGUGCAGGAUGACGGUCCUAUGGAUUGUAAACUGCUUUUGUACAGGAAGAAACCUCCCUACGAGUAGGGACUUGACGGUACUGUAAGAAUAAGGAUCGGCUAACUCCGUGCCAGCAGCCGCGGUAAUACGGAGGAUCCGAGCGUUAUCCGGAAUUAUUGGGUUUAAAGGGUUCGUAGGCGGCUUUGUAAGUCAGUGGUGAAAUUUCCUAGCUUAACUAGGACACUGCCAUUGAUACUGCAGAGCUUGA